GAUGAACGCUGGCGGCGUGCCUAAUACAUGCAAGUCGAGCGAACAGACGAGGUGCUUGCUCCUCUGACGUUAGCGGCGGACGGGUGAGUAACACGUGGAUAACCUACCUAUAAGACUGGGAUAACUUCGGGAACCCGGAGCUAAUACCGGAUAAUAUAUUGAACCGCAUGGUUCAAUCGUGAAAGACUGUUUUGCUGUCACUUAUAGAUGUAUCCGCGCCGCAUUAGCUAGUUGGUAAGGUAACGGCUUACCAACGCGACGAUGAGUAGCCGACCUGAGAGGGUGAUAGGCCACACUGGAACUGAGACACGGUCCAGACUACUACGGGAGGCAGCAGUAGGGAAUCUUCGGCAAUGGGCGAAAGCAUGACGGAGCAACGCCGCGUGAGUGAUGAAGGUCUUCGGAUCGUGAAACUCUGUUAUUAGGGAAGAACAAAUGUGUAAGUAACUAUGCACGUCUUGACGGUACCUAAUCAGAAAGCCACGGCUAACUACGUG
rnacentral:rRNA from 1 species